UGAGAAGUCGAUUAAAAGAAGUAGAGGUUCUUCCACUGAUGUUCGGCACACGAUCCAUAAUGCAAAACCUACGAAGUCAGCAAAAGAUCCACGCAUCUAUCUAUUUGCAACAUAUUGAUGUCCCCCUUGCUCAUACAAUGCCGAUGAGUCGCACAAGGUACAGAACCAUAUAGCAAAAGCUGCUAUGGCUCAACAUAACGGUGCAAAGGAUAUCGCCAAUCUUACAGAUGCCUUUGAAUGGACUUGAAGCUGUUCUCCAGGAGGUGGUACUAGCACAGGGAGACACAGCUUACCUCACCCUGGCAUGCCAAGACACACCUUGGCAUCGACCUUCAAGUGCUUUGAAGCCAUUGUGUCUGACCCAGUUUCCGGGAAGAAGACUCACUUUGCUUGGCUGGAUGGUGAGAUCCACUGGGAUAAAUUUUAAGAGUCAUUCAAAGCAGAAAAUCGGAUUCCUUUUGGUGUU